CUUGCAGCUCUUUCUGCUAUAACCCACUGUUGUUAUACUGGAGGCGUGUUCAAGUGGUGGUAGGAUGCAAAGGAAGCUUUGUACAAUCUAUAGUCCCAGGGUUUUAGUGGACCUCUGUCUUGGGGUUUGGCCUUCUCGAGUGUUUCUGCUCCUUCCUUUAGAAUAUUGCUCUUCCCAGCUCACCUCCUGCUCCAUUCCUUGACUACAGUAUUCUAAAUCUAUUACCUUGAUGCCCUGUCCCUUGUUGAUUAUUGUUUUCUUUUUCUUUAGGGGAAACGGGAAGGCUGGAACCAUGUCCAGCUGGGAUAAGGCUUCAGUCUCAUCCUGUGAUGAAGAAAUUUUCCCUGUAGAACAGGCCUUUGUUAUGGAGAAAAAUUAGGUGAGGUUACACAAUGCCUACUUUUCCUUUUCUUAUGCCAGAGCCAUGAGGGGGUUUUUCUUGGAUCCUCAGCCUGAAGAACCUGGUAGGGAUCAUGGAGGGAACUUGUAUGAAAGUACAAGGUCUCUCUGUGAUUGUCCUCAUUUUCACAGUAGUCCACACUCAGCCUCCAGCAACUCUCCAGAUAACUAGCAAGGCAAGGAUGAGUAGCUCCUGCCCAAGGGAAGCAGGUUUCAGCUGUAUCUCACUGAAUGUCCCUGUCCCUCUAGAUUUCAAGGUGAUAGUUUGGCCCGAAACCUCAGUUCUUUGAUGGGUCCAAGAAAAGUCAUUGAUUAUCGGGUUGUUCCAUUUUCUCUUGUUGUAAGGACAGGGGUGAUGAACUCCAAGCUCUUUAACAUGUUGGAGCUGAAACUGGAAGUGGAACAACUGGUUUCAUAAUGUUUGGCACAUUUUAUGACUUUGUUUCACUUUUCCUAGAAUUGCAGGUUUCCCAGCAUCAGUUAACUGUCCUAGCAUUUCUUUUCAAAUGAACUACAAUCUGGAAAUAGCGAUGCUUCACAUAUCAACUUAGAAACAUAUUUUUUUCCAAAAAGUAUCAAAGUUGUCAAAAAAAAUUAAGCUGUCUCAACCAUCCUAAGAACUGACAAGAAAAAGAGAAUUUUAAUUUUAUUUCUUAUGGAUCAAAUAUUCUAGAGUAAAUGCUUGAAAGAAUGGUGUUCAGUUAAGAAAAUCAAUUCCAUUGUAGCAUUGUGAAUUCUAGGAGGCAUUGUCAUUCUUUCAACAUUCUACAGGAACAUGAGGCUUCUACUUGACUGAAAUAAGGGUUUGAACUCUGGUUUGGGGUUUUAGUUCUCGUUUCUUUAUUUUAUCCACCUCAUCUCCAACUUUUUCAUCCUAGUUCAUUCUCUUCUGCAGCUUUGUGUUCCAUUUUUAUAUCUUCUUUCAAGUUAUGAAAGAUACCAGUCCUUUGAAAUGUUCCCUUAAGCCUUGCUUAUAGCCUUUUUAGGAGUAUGUUCUUAUUAAGUUUUCCAGAUGCUCUUUCCAUUUCCUUUUGUUACACCGUUUUUGUUUUUCAUAUUCUCUUCAUUGCUUUCUUCAUUUUUGCUGCUAGUUUCUUUACUGAUCUUCAAAGAAGGCAGGAUUUGUUCAGACAGAGAAGCCACUUAUCGCCACAGAGGAUUUUGGAUCCUUUUGGCCCUGCCUUCUGUCUGCCUAUAGAAUGGAAGAACUGUUUCUUCAGAUCUCAACUCUGAAAACAUGUCUGAGGUCAGACUGCCUAGAUCUGAAUGCUAGCUGCGAUAGCAUGUUCUAGUAGUGCUGAAGUUUGAAACUGAAUGCUAUGCUCAAAGUCAAGUAAAAUGAAAGUUCUGCUUUUAAAGGGGGAAGAAACUUACAGGAGACAAAUGGGGAAAGCAAACGAUUCUAAGUGGGAUAGGUGUAGAACAUCAUAGCUAUGUAUGGGUUCAAGAUUAUAUGAGUGGAAUAUAUUAUCAUGGAUUCUUCUUCUUUUUUUUUUUUUUUUUUUUUUUUUUUUUUGAGACGGAGUCUCGCUCUGUCGCCCAGGCUGGAGUGCAGUGGUGCAAUCUCGGUUCACUGCAACCUCUGCCGCCUGGGUUCAAGCUAUUCUCCUGCCUCAGCCUCCUGAGUAGCUGAGACUACAGGUGCGCGCCACCAUGCCCAGCUAAUUUUUUUUUUAUUUUUAGUAGAGAUGAACUUUCACCAUGUUGGCCAGGAUGGUCUCGAUCUCUUGACCUCAUGAUCUGCCUGCCUCAGCCUCCCAAAGUGCUGGGAUUAUAGGCAUGAGCCACCGUGCCCGGCCGAUUCUCCCUCUCUUCCUGAGAACAAAAAGGAUUUAUGAAGGAAAAAGCAGCUAAUCAAAGAAGUUCUGAGUUUAAAUUCUGUUUUGUCCACUUACUAGCCAUUUGGCCUUGGGCAAGUCACUUUACUGGACCUCAGUUUCCUUGUAUGUGAAAGGUUUUGGUAAAAAUCAUAUUAGUUAAAGAAUGUAAAGAGUUUUAUAAAUUACAAAGUGAUUAAAAAAAGUAAAAUGUAUUGUUGUUUAGGAACAAUGAAAAAAAAAGAAACCUUGACAUUUUUUCUUCAAGUUCUUGCCUAAAAUGUUUAUUUGUUUGGCCCUUUUUAGAUUUAACAAAUUCUAUGUGUCUAAAUAUCAGUGUAGACCCCUUCUUACCCUACUGGAUUUAUAAGGUACUAAAAGUAGAUAUGCAUCUCUUCUGUCUUGGUUCGCUCUAAAAUGGGAUGUUUGCAAACCUCUUGGUUUUUCUUUUUUAAUAUGGAUGAAGCUUAUAUUAAUUUUUGGCUUGGUAUUAAAUUUUGUUUGGAAUAUUA